UGGCGACCGGCGCACGGGUGAGUAACACGUAUCCAACCUGCCGAUGACUCGGGAAUAGCCUUUCGAAAGAAAGAUUAAUACCCGAUGGCAUAGUUCUUCCGCAUGGUAGAACUAUUAAAGAAUUUCGGCCAUCGAUGGGGAUGCGUUCCAUUAGGUUGUUGGCGGGGUAACGGCCCACCAAGCCUUCGAUGGAUAGGGGUUCUGAGAGGAAGGUCCCCCACAUUGGAACUGAGACACGGUCCAA
rnacentral:rRNA from 1 species